ACAUCCAGCGAACUUGGCAGAGAUGCCUUGGUGCCUUCGGGAACGCUGAGGACAGGUGCUGCAUGGCUGUCGUCAGCUCGUGUUGUGAAAUGUUGGGUUAAGUCCCGCAACGAGCGCAACCCUUAUCCUUUGUUGCCAGCGAUUCGGUCGGGAACUCAAAGGAGACUGCCGGUGAUAAACCGGAGGAAGGUGGGGAUGACGUCAAGUCAUCAUGGCCCUUACGAGUAGGGCUACACACGUGCUACAAUGGCGCAUACAAAGAGAAGCGACCUCGCGAGAGCAAGCGGACCUCAUAAAGUGCGUCGUAGUCCGGAUCGGAGUCUGCAACUCGACUCCGUGAAGUCGGAAUCGCUAGUAAUCGUGGAUCAGAAUGCCACGGUGAAUACGUUCCCGGGCCUUGUACACACCGCCCGUCACACCAUGGGAGUGGGUUGCAAAAGAAGUAGGUAGCUUAACCUCCGGGAGGGCGCUUACCACUUUGUGAUUCAUGACUGGGGUGAAGUCGUAACAAGGUAGGCGUAGCGAG
rnacentral:rRNA from 1 species